UACGUAGGGGGCUAGCGUUGUCCGGAUUUAUUGGGCGUAAAGAGCGUGUAGGCGGCCAGGUAGGUCUGGUGUGAAAACUCGAGGCUUAACCUCGAGAUGUCAUCGGAAACCAUCUGGCUAGAGUCCGGAAGAGGAGAGUGGAAUUCCUGGUGUAGCGGUGAAAUGCGCAGAUAUCAGGAAGAACACCAAUGGCGAAAGCAGCUCUCUGGGACGGUACUGACGCUGAGACGCGGAAAGCGUGGGGAGCGAACAGG
rnacentral:rRNA from 1 species